AGAGGGAACUUUGUGGAGGCUCUGGCAGGAACGUGUGGGUUCUGUAUACCCAAGGCUGUGUGCCUAGGUGUACCUUUCCCUGGGACUUUGCCUCUCUGGAUCAGGUGUGUGUCUGAACGUACAUCUUCCUGUCCCUCUGUCUCUCGCUGGAUCUGCAUCCUUGCCUCUGCAAACACACCUCUUUGAAGGUGUGUGGCUGCCUGUCUCUCUGUGUCCCUAUCUCUGAGUGUCUUGAGUCUCAUUUCUCUACCAGUCUCUCUGUGUAUCACUGUCUCUUUUCACGACUGCAUGUCCCUUUGCCCUCGGGGACAGGUCUCCAUGGGGUCGGUAUCGGUGGUUCUGUGCGUCUUGCAUGUGUCUCUGCCUUUGUGUCUAUCUCUCCUCCAAGCUGUGUGUCUCUCUGUCUCUGUGUGGGUCACUGCCUCUUUAUACUCGUCCAAGAUCUCUGUUUUUCGACCCUCUGCCCGUAGGGGAGCCCCCCUUACCUGAGUUGAGCCCGGUGCGCGCCCGCGAGAGGGUCCGGGACAACGGGAUGCUCAGCGCCGACUGAGGCUCCAGAGCCUGCGGGCGGGGGGCGGCGAGAGGCGGGCAGGGGCGACGUCCACUCCCCGGGCCCUCCCCCUGGGCCGCGCAGCCUCCGCCGGCCGCUCCCGCCGGGGCGCGACCGGGCCGGCCUCUGCCGCGGGCGGUCUGCGGAGAGCGGGCACCUCCUCCCCCUGGGGCGGCGCCUCCUCCGCGGCCGGGGCCGCUAGCUCGCUCGCUCGCUCGCUCUCUCGCUCGGCAGCACUCGGGCGGCGGCGGCAGGAGCGUCGAGGAGUUCGGCUGGGCUCGGCUGCGUUCGGCUGGGCUCGGCUACGGCGGGAGGGAGUCGGCUGAGCUCGGCUGAGCUCGGCGGGCAGCAAAAAACAGCGGAGAGCCCCGCCUCGUGAGUGGCCAGCGGCCUGCGGCCCUUUGGGGGAGGAGCCAUCUCUGUGCCGCUGCCGCCGUUCAAUUGGCUGUCCGGGCCAAGUUCCCGCGCCAUUGGUUGUGCUCUGGGGUGGGACACGACCAUCCUGGUGCAGGAGAGAAGGAGGGAGGGGCUUGGGAAGGGUGAGAGGAGGGGUAUAUAGGGGCCACUUUGUUUUGAUCCAUCCCUUGAAAAGGUGAAGGGUCAGCCCACCUUUUUGCAGGGAUUUCUUGCAUCUUCCACACCUGGAAUGCACCCCCACAUGUGAAGCGUCCACCCCUCCAUAUCUGAGAGAAGUCUGUUUCUAUUAUCUGAGAAAGUCCAUGUGCCUCCACACCUGACCCUCCUCACCUAUCAUCUUUCUACAUAUCCCUCUCCCAGUAGAGUGUAGAGUACCUCAUGUCCACUUUACAGCGCCUGUAGAUUGCCCCUAGUCCUAAUAACAGUGUGAUCUCUGGGAAUUCAUGACCUUUGUUGCGUUUUACUGAUUUCUCACCCAGUGUUGGUCACAGGGUUGUGCAUGGCUUGCUGGAGGGAACUUGAGACACCUGAAGAAUGGCCCAGCUCUGGCUGAACUAGAUCCAGACGGCAUGGAUGGCCUGACUCUCCAUCCUAACAGUUCUGAGACCAAGGUAGCUUGGACAGGAGCAGUCAAGUAGGCCUUCCCCUCUCAGACCCUUAAGUAGCAGGGCUCACACAUGCAAGGAGCUACAUUUCUGGCCCUUUAGUGAUUCUUAAGUGUACUUGUGUGUGGCUUCUAUCACAUAUUGUCCAUGGACAGUCAGAGACCCAUGGCCCCACAUCCAGCCUUAACUUCCCUCAGAAUACUAUACUCACAGCAAAAUGCAUACUGGAGUCACAGUGGUGUUGGUUCCUGGUUCCACUUUCUAACUCUCUUAAACGAAGCUUUCUUCUCAAUAAAACUGUCAUAGUAAUAGCU
rnacentral:lncRNA from 1 species